UGCGGCUGCAGGGACGGAGGAGACAGAGCGAUUACAGAAUGGCUUGGGACAGGAGGUCACCUCUUCCCACCGUGGGAGAUCUCCGUGAGGUGCCUCCCUCGCCCUCCACUCAGGAACUGCCUCUAGCAAGGAGAGUAACAACUUGGAGUUGUGGCUAUAAAUAAGCCCCAGACCGUGGGAACGCCAGGGUGAGCCAAGGCAGUAAAAUGUAGCUGAAUGCCUCUCACUACCGCGGGGCGGAAGUCUGGAAGAAAUCACCGCGGGGCGACAGGGGCGCCCGCGGAGGGGACAUGGCCAGCCGCCCUUACCCGUCAUCUGCGCUCGCUGCAGGUUGCGGAGGUGCUUCACUGUCAUCUCCAGAAUGUCCGCCUUCUCCAGCUUGGAAUGCCGCGAGCUCUGCACACAAGAGGCAAAGGAGAAAAUCAAAACCCCGGCCAGUGGCCUCGGGUCGACUGGGGGUCUCCCCCACAGCCCAUGGCGCCACAUGCCCUGACCCCGGCUAGAGAGGACCGGCCCUCCCGCCUCCAGAACACAGUGCUGGGGGGGGGGUAAAGCUUGCGGGGCGGAGAAGGGGACAGGGGCUCAUUCUUAAUAGCUUGACUAUUUAAUU